rnacentral:rRNA from 1 species
GUGAACGCUGGCGGUAGGCCUAACACAUGCAAGUCGAACGGCAGCACAGAGGAGCUUGCUCCUUGGGUGGCGAGUGGCGGACGGGUGAGGAAUACAUCGGAAUCUACCCUGUCGUGGGGGAUAACGUAGGGAAACUUACGCUAAUACCGCAUACGACCUUCGGGUGAAAGAGGGGGCUCGCAAGACCUCUCGCGAUUGGAUGAGCCGAUGUCGGAUUAGCUAGUUGGCGGGGUAAAAGCCCACCAAGGCGACGAUCCGUAGCUGGUCUGAGAGGAUGAUCAGCCACACUGGAACUGAGACACGGUCCAGACUCCUACGGGAGGCAGCAGUGGGGAAUAUUGGACAAUGGGCGCAAGCCUGAUCCAGCCAUACCGCGUGGGUGAAGAAGGCCUUCGGGUUGUAAAGCCCUUUUGUUGGGAAAGAAAAGCGACCGGCUAAUACCCGGUUGUUCUGACGGUACCCAAAGAAUAAGCACCGGCUAACUUCGUGCCAGCAGCCGCGGUAAGAC